rnacentral:rRNA from 1 species
UACGUAGGGCGCAAGCGUUGUCCGGAAUUAUUGGGCGUAAAGAGCUCGUAGGCGGCUUGUCACGUCGGGUGUGAAAGACCGGGGCUUAACCCCGGUUCUGCAUUCGAUACGGGCUGGCUAGAGUGUGGUAGGGGAGAUCGGAAUUCCUGGUGUAGCGGUGAAAUGCGCAGAUAUCAGGAGGAACACCGGUGGCGAAGGCGGAUCUCUGGGCCACUACUGACGCUGAGAAGCGAAAGCAUGGGGAGCGAACAGG